rnacentral:tRNA from 1 species
GGAGGGUAUAGCUCAGUGGUAGAGUGUGUGCUUAGCAUGCACAAGGUCCUGGGUUCAAUCCCCAGUAACUCCA